CAUCUGAUUUGAAGAUGUUCCGGUUCUUGCAUGGUCGAGGGAGUUGACUAGUUUUUUUUUUAAGAGACAUACUCAUUCCUAUGUACUGUUUGCUGCAAUGGUUAAUUCCUAAUUGUUGGAGGGGCCAUUAGUGGGUAUAUGCAUUUGAGGUGAAUGCGAAAUGCCUAGUGAUAAUCGACAGCUUGCAUUCUGCACCACAAGAUGAUGAACGGGAUAAACUCGAUGCAUAUGUGGGGAGAGUGUUUGAGGACAUGGCGAGAAUUGCAAUUCCUGCAUUCGUCCGGACUACAUACGGCCCAUCUCGUUCUUACGCCAGGGUUCCAAAGCAACCGAACAACUUUGACUGUGGCAUCUGUGUUAUUAAGUUCAUAGAAAGUUGGACCGAAGACCGUGCUCUUGAUGAAUGGGACGAGGUGACUACAAUAAACUUUUGGGCAUAUAUCACGCGUCAAUUUGAACAAAUAUCACUGUAACAGUUCUUACUACUAACUCGCCUGGUAAAUCUAUUUACAUGAUUCACUCAGAUCAUACAGGAUGGAGUUGAUGCUAGACAUUGUGUGUGGGUCAGACAAUACAUUGGUUCACUAGGUUCUUUCAUUAUUGAAGGACAAUGUUAAACCUGUUCGACGCAAUUAAUCAUGGAACAAGAAAAGGGAAGUUAGAUC